GAAGCUUGCGAGAGCUACCAUGCAGCUGAGCGGUAGAGAUCUUUCGGGAUCUUGAGAGCGGCGUACGGGUGCGGAACACGUGUGCAACCUGCCUUUAUCAGGGGGAUAGCCUUUCGAAAGGAAGAUUAAUACCCCAUAAUAUUUUGAGUGGCAUCACUUGAAAUUGAAAACUGAGGUGGAUAAAGAUGGGCACGCGCAAGAUUAGAUAGUUGGUGAGGUAACGGCUCACCAAGUCGAUGAUCUUUAGGGGGCCUGAGAGGGUGAUCCCCCACACUGGUACUGAGACACGGACCAGACUCCUACGGGAGGCAGCAGUGAGGAAUAUUGGACAAUGGGUUAGCGCCUGAUCCAGCCAUCCCGCGUGAAGGACGACGGCCCUAUGGGUUGUAAACUUCUUUUGUACAGGGAUAAACCUACCCUCGUGAGGGUAGCUGAAGGUACUGUACGAAUAAGCACCGGCUAACUCCGUGCCAGCAGCCGCGGUAAUACGGAGGGUGCAAGCGUUAUCCGGAUUUAUUGGGUUUAAAGGGUCCGUAGGCGGAUGCGUAAGUCAGUGGUGAAAUCUCACAGCUCAACUGUGAAACUGCCAUUGAUACUGCGUGUCUUGAGUGAGGUUGAAGUAGCUGGAAUAAGUAGUGUAGCGGUGAAAUGCAUAGAUAUUACUUAGAACACCAAUUGCGAAGGCAGGUUACUAAGUCUCAACUGACGCUGAUGGACGAAAGCGUGGGGAGCGAACAGGAUUAGAUACCCUGGUAGUCCACGCUGUAAACGAUGCUAACUCGUUUUUGGGGAUUUAUCUUCAGAGACUAAGCGAAAGUGAUAAGUUAGCCACCUGGGGAGUACGAACGCAAGUUUGAAACUCAAAGGAAUUGACAGGGGCCCGCACAAGCGGUGGAUUAUGUGGUUUAAUUCGAUGAUACGCGAGGAACCUUACCAAGGCUUAAAUGGGAAUUGAUCGGUUUAGAAAUAGACCUUUCCUUCGGGCAAUUUUCAAGGUGCUGCAUGGUUGUCGUCAGCUCGUGCCGUGAGGUGUUAGGUUAAGUCCUGCACGAGCGCACCCCUGUCACUAGUGCCAUCAUCAGUGGGGACUCUAGUGAGACUGCUACGCAGGUAGAGAGGAAGUGGGGAUGACGUCAAUCAUCACGCCCUACGCUGGGCCCACAACGUAAUACAAUGGCCCGGUACAGAGGGCAAGCUAC
rnacentral:rRNA from 1 species